UACAGAGGUGGCAAGCGUUGUUCGGAAUUACGUGGCGUAAAGGGCGCGUAGGCGGCCUUUCUAAGUCAGACGUCGAAAUCCCCAGGCUUAACUUGGGAACUGCGUCUGAUACUGGGAGGCUUGAGGGCGGUAGGGGCUGGUGGAAUGCCUGGUGUAGUGGUGAAAUGCGUAGAGAUCAGGCAGAACACCUGGGGCGAAGGCGGCCAGCUGGGCCGUCCCUGACGCUGAGGCGGCGAAGGCG
rnacentral:rRNA from 1 species